rnacentral:lncRNA from 1 species
UACAGCAAAGCUUGAUUUGAAUCUAUUAAGCCAUAUCCAAGACCCAUACUUUGUACAAUGAACAUCCGAAUGGCAUUUAUCUUAGUUCCAUCAUUUGAAACUAUGGCUGUUUCCUUUUACUUUUGUGUUCAUCAAUUUAACAGACACUGAUGGUUGCAAUACCCCACUGUAUAUAAACAAAAUUAAAUCUGGCUAUAGAUUUAGCCAUUACUAGGAACUUAUUUUACUUUCAACCACACCACUUCAAAAAUCCCAACAAUUUUUGUUUUGUUUGAGAAGUAGUGUGUAGAACAAUAAAUUGAGUGAUUUUUGAACAGCACAAUAUUUAGAGGAAAUAGGAGAAUGGGGCAAUUUAUUGACUAUGGAUAUACAUAUGCCUUAGGACAUGUUCGAAUGGUUGGUUAGGAAGAAGAGCUUCAGUUUAUUAGUUGUGUAAAAUACAGAUUGUUGAAAUACAACCAUCUAGGUUGUGCAGAGUCUUAAAUAAUUCAUGUAAGAUAUCAGAGUGGAGCUCCCACAAUUUGUUCUAGUCUUAGUUGGAUAUAAUAUCUGUGAGUGAUUCAGCAAAUGAGGUCAUAAAUAUUCAUCUGUUUUAUAACAGAUGACAGCUGAGAAUCUUUGCACAGACAGUGGACCAUGUGAUUCCACCCCAGACUACCUAUGCCUUCCUCUUUUCCAACUCCUUCCUAUGUUAGGCAAUAGCAGCUCAGGGAUGUUUAUGUUUGCUGCUUGUAGACAAAUUUAUAUUUCAUUGUAUUGGAAUUUGGGAAAGCUGUACCUGAUUAUCUGUAAAACACCAGGCUUGAUUCUCAUAAAAACCCAAGGCAAACAGAAAGAUAGGCAGUGCUUAAAGCAAAAGUGAAAUUUCUUCACCUCCUUCUCAACAAAUGGUAGGACCUAGGAUACAAUUUGUAAAGCAAAAUGAACCAAACGUGUGGGGGAAGGCCACGUGUUUCUGGAAGGCCAGGGAAAAUCUCUCGGUUCUCUCUGAAAUCUAGGAAUAAAUUUCCAAAAUCACUUUUAUGAAACAUAGCCAGAGUCAUAUCUAUGUAAAUAGAGUUCCACAUUGUAGGGAAGAUUUGUUUAAAGUUGAAUACAAAAAUCCAUUAGUAAUGUUCCUGACAUAACAAUAUAUUCAUAGAAGUCUUAGCUGCUAAGCUAAUAGAACCGGUUGCCCUAAAAAUCUGUUUGGCUUUUAACAUUCUAUUGUUGGUCACUGCAGGUUGUAUACUUGGUUGCUGGGAAUAUCUUCUUUUAUAUGAAAGAUUAAUUUUUAUAGUUUCUACAUAAAGUAUGAAACCAUUUACCCAUGUAUGCAUUCAUUCAUUCAUUCAUUCAUUCAUUCAGGAAUUACCUACUGAAUACAAACUAUUUACAGCAAUAUAUUUAUGAGACCCACAAGGUAUUCUCUGUGGUGAGUACAGCACAUAAACAAUGAGUAAUAUGGAAUUGUGGAAUGUAGCAAAGCUAUUUUGUAAAUGAUUUAGAUGAGUUUUUUAUUUUAUAUAUGUGAAUACACUGUCACUGUCUUCAGACACACCAGAAGAGAGCACUGCAUCCCAUUUCAGAUGGUUGGGAGCCACCAUGUAGUUGCUGGGAAUUGAACUCAGAACCUCUGGAAGAGCAGUCUGUGCUCUUAACCACUGAGCCACCUCUCCAGCUUUAGAUGAGUUUUUACUCUGGCAAGUGUCCAUGUGGUAAAUAUAUAUUGAAAGCAAUGCCACCAUUAGUAUAUUCUAUUCAAUGCUAUAACAAAUAGAUUUCAAAGGAAGAUAUGAUAUUUUGCCACAUGAACUUUCAUUCUAAAAUGUUUGCAGUAUUAAUAAAAUAUAUGAUUCUAUACAAUUGAGGGACUAACAUUUCUAUGUCCUGGCAUUUUUUGUUAGGACAAAUAAAAACAUUAUUUACAAAUUGUUCAACAUGCCUGGAAUGGGUAUUACACUUUCAAUCUCAGCACUCAGGAGGAGGGAGAGGCAGAAACAGGCCAAUCCCCAUGAGCUAUAAGUCAACUUGGUUUACAUAGAGAAUUCCAAGUUGUAUGAGGAACUCCUGCCUCCAAACAAACAAACAAACAAACCACAUGCAUGCACGCAUACACACAAAAACCC